rnacentral:rRNA from 1 species
UACGUGAAACCGUUCAGGGGUAAACGGGAGAAAUCCUGAAUUCGAAAGGUUAUGGAUUCAAUCUUGUCCGUUUGUAACAGGCCACCUGUCCCCCCAGAUGUCGCUGGUCGCCCGCGGCGGUUAAUUCCGUCUGUGGUGUCGAUCCAGGCUGGCACUCGGUGGGGUCAGUGCUCUGACAAUUCGGCUUGACGCACUUCCUUCCUUGUAGAAACGUCGCGACCCGUUGGGUGCCGGUCUAAGGCCUGGGAUGGCAGACCAUGUGUCCUGAUGUGUGGUUCACAGGCGCGUGGACUCCUGGUGUCCUGGCCGGCUGCUCGACGGUAUGACCAGAGGAGUCGAUCCGCUAAAAUAUGGAAAAUCACAUGGGUGUAAAGCGUCCGGCCCGGCGCCGACACGUGCUAGAUAUGGUUUUAAACCAGAGCGAGGACCUGUGCUGUACCACGGGCUCUGGUAAAGUGCGUUGUUGGUUGUCGGUGUCCUCGGACUGGAUCAGUUCUCCCGUCAGCGGCGCCCAUCUUCGGAUGG